rnacentral:rRNA from 1 species
GGGUUGUGAGGUUAAGUGACUAAGCGUACACGGUGGAUGCCUAGGCAGUCAGAGGCGAUGAAGGGCGUGCUAAUCUGCGAAAAGCGUCGGUAAGGUGAUAUGAACCGUUAUAACCGGCGAUACCCGAAUGGGGAAACCCAGUGUGUUUCGACACACUAUCAUGUCAUGAAUACAUAGUGGCAUGAGGCGAACCGGGGGGAACUGAAACAUCUAAGUACCCCGAGGAAAAGAAAUCAACCGAGAUUCCCCCCAGUAGCGGCGAGCGAACGGGGAGGAGCCCAGAACCUGAAUCGGCUUGUGUGUUAGUGGAAGCGUCUGGAAAGUCGCGCAGCAAAGGGUGAUAGCCCCGUACACUAAAAUGCACAGGUCGUGAGUUCGAUGAGUAGGGCGGGACACGUGACAUCCUGUCUGAAUAUGGGGGGACCAUCCUCCAAGGCUAAAUACUCCUGACUGACCGAUAGUGAACCAGUACCGUGAGGAAAGGCGAAAAGAACCCCGGCGAGGGAGUGAAAUAGAACCUGAAACCGUGUACGUACAAGCAGUGGGAGCACCUUCGUGGUGUGACUGCGUACCUUUGUAUAAUGGGUCAGCGACUUAUAUUUUGUAGCAAGGUUAACCGUAUAGGGAGCCGUAGGAAACCGAGUCUUAACUGGGCGAUUAGUUGCAAGGUAUAGACCCGAAACCCGGUGAUCUAGCCAUGGGCAGGUUGAAGGUUGGGUAACACUAACUGGAGGACCGAACCGACUAAUGUUGAAAAAUUAGCGGAUGACUUGUGGCUGGGGGGUGAAAGGCCAAUCAAACCGGGAGAUAGCUGGUUCUCCCCGAAAGCUAUUUAGGUAGCGCCUCGUGAACUCAUCUUCGGGGGUAGAGCACUGUUUCGGCUAGGGGGCCAUCCCGGCUUACCAAACCGAUGCAAACUCCGAAUACCGAAGAAUGUUAUCACGGGAGACACACGGCGGGUGCUAACGUCCGUCGUGAAGAGGGAAACAACCCAGACCGCCAGCUAAGGUCCCAAAGUCAUGGUUAAGUGGGAAACGAUGUGGGAAGGCAUAGACAGCCAGGAUGUUGGCUUAGAAGCAGCCAUCAUUUAAAGAAAGCGUAAUAGCUCACUGGUCGAGUCGGCCUGCGCGGAAGAUGUAACGGGGCUAAACCAUGCACCGAAGCUGCGGCAGCGACGCUUAGGCGUUGUUGGGUAGGGGAGCGUUCUGUAAGCCGUUGAAGGUGGCCUGUGAGGGUUGCUGGAGGUAUCAGAAGUGCGAAUGCUGACAUAAGUAACGAUAAAGCGGGUGAAAAGCCCGCUCGCCGGAAGACCAAGGGUUCCUGUCCAACGUUAAUCGGGGCAGGGUGAGUCGACCCCUAAGGCGAGGCUGAAAAGCGUAGUCGAUGGGAAACAGGUUAAUAUUCCUGUACUUGGUGUUACUGCGAAGGGGGGACGGAGAAGGCUAGGCUAGCCGGGCGACGGUUGUCCCGGUUUAAGCGUGUAGGGGGGUGUGACCUGGUAAAUCCGGUUGCAUAUCAACCCUGAGGCGUGAUGACGAUGCACUACGGUGCAGAAGUAGUUGAUGCCCUGCUUCCAGGAAAAUCCUCUAAGCUCCAGGUAACAUUAAAUCGUACCCCAAACCGACACAGGUGGUCAGGUAGAGAAUACCAAGGCGCUUGAGAGAACUCGGGUGAAGGAACUAGGCAAAAUGGUGCCGUAACUUCGGGAGAAGGCACGCUGGCAUGUAGGUGAAGUCCCUCGCGGAUGGAGCUGAAGCCAGUCGAAGAUACCAGCUGGCUGCAACUGUUUAAUAAAAACACAGCACUGUGCAAACACGAAAGUGGACGUAUACGGUGUGACGCCUGCCCGGUGCUGGAAGGUUAAUUGAUGGGGUCAGCCGCAAGGCGAAGCUCUUGAUCGAAGCCCCAGUAAACGGCGGCCGUAACUAUAACGGUCCUAAGGUAGCGAAAUUCCUUGUCGGGUAAGUUCCGACCUGCACGAAUGGCGUAAUGAUGGCCAGGCUGUCUCCACCCGAGACUCAGUGAAAUUGAACUCGCUGUGAAGAUGCAGUGUACCCGCGGCAAGACGGAAAGACCCCGUGAACCUUUACUAUAGCUUGACACUGAACAUUGAGCCUUGAUGUGUAGGAUAGGUGGGAGGCUUUGAAGCGUGGACGCCAGUCUGCGUGGAGCCAUCCUUGAAAUACCACCCUUUAAUGUUUGAUGUUCUAACUCGGCCCCGUGAUCCGGGGUGAGGACAGUGUCUGGUGGGUAGUUUGACUGGGGCGGUCUCCUCCCAAAGAGUAACGGAGGAGCACGAAGGUUAGCUAAUCACGGUCGGACAUCGUGAGGUUAGUGCAAAGGCAUAAGCUAGCUUGACUGCGAGAGUGACGGCUCGAGCAGGUACGAAAGUAGGUCUUAGUGAUCCGGUGGUUCUGAAUGGAAGGGCCAUCGCUCAACGGAUAAAAGGUACUCCGGGGAUAACAGGCUGAUACCGCCCAAGAGUUCAUAUCGACGGCGGUGUUUGGCACCUCGAUGUCGGCUCAUCACAUCCUGGGGCUGAAGUAGGUCCCAAGGGUAUGGCUGUUCGCCAUUUAAAGUGGUACGCGAGCUGGGUUUAGAACGUCGUGAGACAGUUCGGUCCCUAUCUGCCGUGGGCGUUGGAAGAUUGAGAGGGGUUGCUCCUAGUACGAGAGGACCGGAGUGAACGCACCACUGGUGUUCGGGUUGUCAUGCCAAUGGCAUUGCCCGGUAGCUAAGUGCGGAAAAGAUAAGCGCUGAAAGCAUCUAAGCGCGAAACUUGCCUCAAGAUGAGUCUUCCCUGGGCCUUUAAGGUCCCUGAAGGAACGUUUAAGACUAAGACGUUGAUAGGCUGGGUGUGUAAGUGCAGCGAUGCAUUGAGCUAACCAGUACUAAUGAUCCGUGAGGCUUAACCUUACAACACCGAAGGUGUUU